rnacentral:lncRNA from 1 species
GUGGUCGGCUUGAACAUUUUAUUAUUAUUAUUUUUUAUUAUUAAACGAAAUUUACAAAGUGAUUUUGUACAUAAUAUUAUUAUAAUAAAAUAAAAUAUACCUGUAUAAUCUACGAUUACAAUAUACGUUAGACUGUGCCAAAUUUUCGCAAAAAAAUAGUUUGGACGAUUUUAAAUUUUAAAUUAUUAAUUUGUACGCCGUGUGAUUUUCAUUGUCUUUAUUACUAUUAUUAUUGUUAUUAUUAUUAUUAUAUACGUGUACAUUUAUCGAAACAAAUUUGUUGUUAAUUCAGCGCAAAAAGUUUUAAUUUUUAUCGCGCACGUCGUUACCGUAUAAUAAUAUUGUUGAAUAAUAUCUAUUCUCGCGGAAACGAACGUUCACAAAAUAUCAACGUAAUAAUAUUACCGAAAUAUUCCAACCGGCGAAAUUCGCUAAAUGCAGAAAGGCCACGCGUUCAAAUUGUAAAAUUAUAACCCUCUCCGAGACGAAAAAUACUUAAUAUCUUAGACAAAAAAAAAAAAAAAGCACGAGUACAACGCGUGUUAUGUGACGUGUUAGAUUUACGUGUAAUUUACAACAUACUACGGUGGUUUUAUGAAAUAUUAAAUAAAAGCUCUACAGGCGCUUAAGGUUUUUUUUGUCGUUCCCGAAAAAUUCUAAAUUUCGAACGCCACGUCGUGACCUUUCUGCGUUUAGCAAAAUUCACACAGUGCACACACAAUACGUCCAACUUUCGUAAAGGAAAAACUAUAUCGUUUGCUUCGAACUGAUGUCCAAUAACAAACCGUGUAUAUAUGAAAAUGUCGAACGAAUUACAUAUUAUUACCAUACAAAUAGGUACUGAGCCACGUUAACAAUUAACUAUCGAGAAAACAUUAAAUAAAAAAUGUAUACCUUUGUUUUUUUUUUUUUUUUUUUUUUAUCGAAGAUUUGAAAAAUAACGCCAUCGUUAACUAUUAUACGUAAUAUCGUAUUAUUAAUGGGUUUUUAUUUUUUAAUGAUAUUUUCUUUUUUCCAUCAACAAUCGUUUGGUAAAUUAUUAUUAUAAUACAUGGCGAUUAUUCGUUAGGGGCUUUUACAUAUAUAUUUGUUUUUUAUUUUAUUUACAUAUUCAUUUUUUAUAUAAUCACAUAAUAAUAUGUGUUACAACCGAAAUGGUGAUUUUUUUUUUUCAAUUGAUCUUAUGCAGUCUAAAACAUUGUUAUAAAUAUAUAAUAAUUUAUAUUAAAUUACAAAUUGUUCCCAAAAUUUAAAGUAAAAAAAAAAAAAUAUACAUAUAUAUAUAUAUAUAUAUAUAUAUAUACAUAUUAUACUUACUUUUUGAAUUUGUUUUUUUUUUUAUUAUGAAUCAUGCAUCCAUAUUAAACGUUGUUAUUUUAAUAUUUAAGCGCUUAACGAUAAACUUACAUAAUUUAAUAUUGUCCUUUCUCGCGAAUUAUAGAUAUUUCAAAACAAGUAAAAUCUUCAUCCUCUUUGAAUAUUUAACCGAUUUCGAAUACCCUGAUGUUUAUAAUAAUUGCCGCUAUACAAACUACUAAGGUCGAUAUUACAUUGAUUGGAAAUCGGGCUCGUGAUGAUAUAAAACGUAUUUAACCAACACACAUACUUAACUGUCCGAAAAAAACAAACAUUAUUUCUUUAUUGGAACACGAAAACGAGUUCAAUGUUAAAUAUUUUCCUUUUAAUUUUAUGAGCGUCUCGAAAUCUGAAAAAUGAAUUAAAAGUUUCGGCCAAAAAAUAAAUAAAUAAUUUCAUCCGUUCGAUAUCGUAUUAUACCUAUAUAUUUAUUAGUUCGUCAUAUCGGGAUAUCCUAUGGAAUUUACUUAUACCGCGUUAAAUACGAAAAUCGAAGAAAAAAAUACAACCGUUUGACGAUUUUUAUACGUACAUAUUAAAAAAAAAAACAUACCCUGACCUUACCCAACGGCGUAUAAAGACGGUCACGUCGUUAUGCGACAACUGCUGAUUUUAAACCGUAGGGGUGUUCGGGAUUCUUAAGUUUUCCUUUUCGGACGCCUCUGUUCUCUAAUAUUAUAACAAAUUAUACAAUAAUAAUCGUUAUUAUCGUCGAACGCAAAUGGACGCGAAACACCGAUCGUUGAAAAUUAUUGUUGAACAAAUAGUUUUAUUUUUUAUAUUUAUUAAAAACGCGUUUUUGUUACAUAAAAGCUAGUGUUAUCAAAAAAAACUACCAUAUUUAAAUAGAUAUUAUUAUGCGUUCAAAACAACAUAAUAUUAAUAUAUUGUACAAAGUUAUAUUAUAUUAUAGGCACCUAUGUGUAAUAUUUUAAUGUUUUAUUUUAUUUUGUUUUAAAUAUAUUAUAUUAUAUUAUUAUUACUUUCUGUAAAAACAUGUUGUUAAAUAUUAUUAUUAUUAUUAUCUUAGAUUGCAUUUGUAUAUAGGUGUUCAAGAGUUAUAUAUUUUUUCGUUUGUUUGUUUUUUUUAUCACUUAUAUUAUAAUAAAUUGUAUAAUUUUUAGGCAAAAGCUUUAUAUAUAUAUAUAUAUAUAUAUAUAUUUAUAUAUCUAUAUAUAUAUAUUUAUAUAUCUAUAUAUAUUGAGAGGUACAAAAAAAAAAAAAUAAAAAAAUCCAAACGCUUUUGUUUAAUUUAUAUAUCUAUAUAUAUAUAUUUAUAUAUCUAUAUAUAUUGAGAGGUACAAAAAAAAAAAAAAAAAAAAAAAAACACGUUACGUUUUAAUGAGUUAUUAUUUUCGAAGGAAAUCAUGUACUAUUAUUAUAUUAUAAUCUAGUUAGGAAUAUAAUAUUAUUAUAUUAUAUAGUGUGCUUUAUGCAUAUUUUUUUCGAUACCAGACAAUCUUUUAACGUAUGUUUUUUUUAAAAUUAUUAUUAUUAAAUUAACCCCCUCGUCGUUAUAGUUGAAUUUCAUCAACCCGGCGGUGUUUUUUUUUUCUACGUUGGAAUUCGAACUCGUUUUUAUAUAGCUAAAACAAAAAAAAAAAAAAAAAAAACAUAUACGUAUUUUUUUACCGCGUUUUGUUGAACGUCGAACGACGACACCCGAACGAUGCUCUUUAUAUUUAAUAUACGAUAAAACACGAACAGCAUAAUUUUAUUGUACCUAUAUUAUUGUUAAUACACCACUCUGUAUGACCGAUUUCGGUGUAACUUAUUGAAUACUCUAAUAAUCGGUAUUAUUUAAAUAUUUUAUACGCAUCGGACACUCACGAAAUACACUGCACCAUAGACACAUACACAAACACACACACAAAAUAUUGUACCCAUAUGUAUUUAAUUACGACGUGUUUUACCUUUAUAGUAAUACUUUAUGAACAAUAUAUUGUGGGUGUUUGUCAACAGUAUUCCGUAUUAUGUAUGUAGACCGGACUAAAAACAUUUCGUACUUAUUAAUUUUAUUAAUUCGUGUUACCUCCCCGCCAACCCCCCCCCNNNNNNNNNNNNNNCCCCCCCCCCGCCCUCCAAUAUUGGGAAAAAGCAUCGGUGAUUUUGUUUUUUAAUUAUUAAUUAAUUAUUUAAAUAUAUUAUAAUAUAUAGAACGCGUUUUUUGUCCGAGUAACGUUUUUUGACUUUGUAUUUCGUCAUUUUUUUCGAAUUGUUUUUUUAUAUGCAUG